rnacentral:rRNA from 1 species
CCUACGGGUGGCAGCAGUGAGGAAUAUUGGUCAAUGGACGAGAGUCUGAACCAGCCAAGCCGCGUGAAGGAGGACGGCCCUGUGUGUUGUAAACUUCUUUUGUAAGGGGAUAAAGCCAGGCACGCGUACCUGUUUGCAUGUACUUUAUGAAUAAGGAUCGGCUAACUCCGUGCCAGCAGCCGCGGUAAUACGGAGGAUGCGAGCGUUAUCCGGAUUUAUUGGGUUUAAAGGGUGCGUAGGUGGUCUGUUAAGUUAGUGGUGAAAGCCCGAGGCUCAACCGCGGAAUUGCCGUUGAUACUGGCAGUCUCGAGUAGAGUUGAGGUAAGCGGAAUGCGUGGUGUAGCGGUGAAAUGCUUAGAUAUCACGCAGAACACCGAUUGCGAAGGCAGCUUACCAACCUGCUACUGACGUUGAGGCACGAAAGCGUGGGUAUCAAACAGGAUUAGAUACCCCUGUAGUC